AAGGCAACAGUAUAUUACUGCACAGUGAUUUCCCUGCAAUACAACUAACUUAUAUCCAAAAUUCUUGGCAAAAUUGGACUGGAAAUAUCACAAUGUUGUUAUCCACCAUGCCGAUAAAACACUGUUAUCCAGGUAAUUGACAAAUGCAUUACAACAAAAAUAAAUUGUACCUGCUAGAAAAUUCAGAUCAACUUCAGUCAUUUCAUGCGUAGUUCGUUUCAUUUCAGAAGGGCUAUGAAUUGUAAAGUUAAGGCUUGACAGAGGACGCAAAAGAUGUAUGAAAAAAAAAGCCAAGUUCUACAGAUGUACAAUGGAGAGCCUUCUGACUGGCUACAUCACAGGCUGGCAUUGUGGUGGGGGGGGGGGGGGGGCGGGUGCUACUACACACAACUGAAGUAAGCUGUAGAGAGUGGUAAAAUACGUCAAUUCCAGCAUGGCUACUGGCCUCUGUAGUAUCCCAGGUAUCUUCAAGGAGCAGUGUCUCAGAAAGGCAGUGUCCAUUAUUAAGAACCUCCAACACCCAGGGCAUGCCCUUUUCUCACUGUUACCAUCAGGUAGGAGGUACAGAAGCCUGAAGGCACACACUCAGUGAUUCAGGAACAGCUGCUUCCCCUCUGCCAUCCAAUUCUUAAAUGGACAAUGAAGGCGUGAACUAAUUUUUGUGUUUUUUUUCCACUACUUAUCUUAACUUCAUAUACAUAAAUAUACUUACUGAAAUUCAGAUACUUUAUCAUUGUACUUGUGCCACAAUGUUAACAAAUUUCAUGACUUAUGUCGAUUAAACCUGAUACUGAAGUAUACCCAAACAAGGGAAACAGCUAGAUCUUGAUAAAUCAUCAUGCAAUUCCUAUAUUUCUAUGGGCAAAUGUGAUUUCACUGUCGUGCAGGUUGAAACAAAGUGUGUCAUGUUUAUUGUAACUGUCGGCCCUGGCAAUUACGUCAGUGCUGCAUGAUUGAGAACGGAUCCACCCUUCAAUUAAAAUGCAAAAUCUGAUCAGUCACUUCUUGGCACAAGUUGCUCUUGUGUGUCUAAUGCAAUUUCUGUGUCAUAUUACAUCACUCCCAGGCCACACCUGGGAUGGAAUGCCAGUGAGGAAAUCAAACAGCACGUUCCGAGGAGCGAUCACCAUGGUAACAAGCACUACUCAGGAUUGGGACACUACUGAAUAUCGCUGGUCCGGGAACUCAUACUGAGACAAACAUCAACUACUGGAAGAUCAAUUCCGAGACAGACACAGUUUGGUCUGCUCCAAACUUGUUAGCAUUCUGCAAGAAAAUGAAAAGUCGCAAGGUGCAGGAAUUGCAGGGAAGGAGUCCCUUCCACCACUGGACAUUAAGCAAUGAGGCCCUGUGUAAUUGCCUCUCAAACACUUCACAGGACAACUUACAAUGACCAAUCAACCUACUGUGGGAGGAAACCGGAGCAUCUGAAGAAAACCCACGCUGCCACUGGGAGAACAUACAAACUCCUUACAGGCAGUGGCGGUAAUUGAACCUAGGUUGCCUGUACAGUAAAGUGUUGUGCUAACCACUACACUACCAUGCCACCCAAAUUAUUAUGUAUUACAAUAUACUGCAGCCUAGUAUAAACUUCACGACUAGUAAACCCGAUUCUGAAAACACAGCCGAUCACAAUGAGCUGAAUGAAGAGCAUGUUCAGACAAUGCAAUUGCUUUUUUAAAAAAAAUGGUUGACAUUUGAAAACUAUGAAACUUAAGUAAUCCAAUGAAAAAUAAGAUUAUUGAAAUGCUUAAAGUUUUAAAUUAAGGAAAUAAUCAAGGAGUAAAGCAUUAUAAUUUGGACAGCACGACAGCGUAACACUGCAGGAUUCGGUGAAAUGAAGGGGUGGCAAGGUGAAUCUGCAACGUUGCAAAGCACGCUCGUGGAAGUUUGGCCUGUACUUCAAUUUGAAUUAAACCCUUGUUGGCUCCAUACAGAACUGACAAACACACAUUGUUUGUUACGCUGAGUGUGUGCACUUUAAUGUCUUCCCCCGGUAUAUUCUUACAAUGGGUCGGUGUUCCCACCAUACACAACAGAGUAUUCCAUCCUUUAGUAAAUGCUAUCUGCAUACAGUAUUUAAGGUAGAUCUGAUUAUUUUGUAAUAUGAUUUAACUACAUCGUGGAGUGCAUCACAGUCUAAUUCAUGUGUAGUUUUAAGUUGAUUUUGUAGGUUAUUAGAGAUGGUAUCUCUUGGUGCAUAAUAAUUAAGGCAGCUCACUCUCAGUGAGGGUGGGGGGGUUGGAGGGGAGAGGGGGAGAGACAGAUAGAAAGAGGUUGCCUGUUCAUGCUGGACAAAAUUAGUAUGGAGCUGUUACUGUGUUUUCUGGUAGAUAUCGUUUUGUAAAUAUUGGCAGUUUUCUUUUUGCUAGUUUUUGUAAGUUUGACUUUAAAUAAACACCCUUGCACUAAAAUACUAAGCGAUUCCAACAAUUUCUUUCCCUUCGGUCAUAACCAAUGUAUCUAACAAAUGCGUAUUAAAAGGUGUUGUAAAUCAGGAUUAAUUCAUGGCACAGCAGUGAAGUAAUCAUCAAACAAACAGGGAAAAUAUGGUGGCUUGAAGUAACAGAUCAUCUACCACAUUAAUUCCAUGGGAUGCCAAAGCAUGCACACAUUGCAUUCAAUAAAAUCACUAAUCAAUUCAGUUAAUAAGGUAAUGUCUGCUAGGCAGCAUGCUACACAAGCUUGAAGAAUAGCAGUAAAUUUGCAUUGGAAAUCUGUUCAUGAGUCUUUGCCAUAAAACCAAGAGAUUUUGUAAUUCCAGAAAAAAGGUGGAUGUAGAGCUUACUAUU